rnacentral:rRNA from 1 species
GACGAACGCUGGCGGCGUGCUUAACACAUGCAAGUCGAACGGAAAGGCCCUGCUUUUGUGGGGUGCUCGAGUGGCGAACGGGUGAGUAACACGUGAGUAACCUGCCCUUGACUUUGGGAUAACUUCAGGAAACUGGGGCUAAUACCGGAUAGGAGCUCCUGCUGCAUGGUGGGGGUUGGAAAGUUUCGGCGGUUGGGGAUGGACUCGCGGCUUAUCAGCUUGUUGGUGGGGUAGUGGCUUACCAAGGCUUUGACGGGUAGCCGGCCUGAGAGGGUGACCGGCCACAUUGGUACUGAGAUACGGCCCAGACUCCUACGGGAGGCAGCAGUGGGGAAUAUUGCACGAUGGGCGGAAGCCUGAUGCAGCAACGCCGCGUGCGGGAUGACGGCCUUCGGGUUGUAAACCGCUUUCGCCUGUGACGAAGCGUGAGUGACGGUAAUGGGUAAAGAAGCACCGGCUAACUACGUG